GUCUCGGUGGCGUAGUGGUUUAACGCGUCCAGUCACUUGUGGCUGGGAGAACGGGGGUUCAAUUCCCCCCUGAGGCU
rnacentral:tRNA from 1 species